rnacentral:rRNA from 1 species
GAUGAACGCCAGCGGCAGGCCUAAUACAUGCAAGUCGAACGGUGUCUUCGGACAUAGUGGCGCACGGGUGCGUAACACGUAUGCAACCUACCUUACAUUGGGGGAUAGCCUUUCGAAAGGGAGAUUAAUACCGCAUAAGACAGUAGCUGGGCAUCCAGCAGCUGUUAAAGAUUUAUCGAUGUAAGCUGGGCAUGCGUCCAAUUAGCUAGUUGGUGAGGUAACGGCUCACCAAGGCUAUGAUUGGUAGGGGAACUGAGAGGUCAAUCCCCCACACUGGCACUGAGAUACGGGCCAGACUCCUAUGGGAGGCAGCAGUAGGGAAUAUUGGGCAAUGGACGCAAGUCUGACCCAGCCAUGCCGCGUGCAGGAUGAAGGCGUUAUGCGUUGUAAACUGCUUUUAUACAGGAAGAAACGACUCUUGCGAGAGGCAUUGACGGUACUGUAUGAAUAAGCACCGGCUAACUCCGUGCCAGCCGCCGCAGUAACAC